rnacentral:lncRNA from 1 species
UUCUACGAAACCAUAAAAAAGUAAAUUUGGAAACUAAAAAAAGUAAUAAAAUUGAUAGAGGUCAUAUCACUUUUACCCCUUCUAGUUUGACCUAAGUUUCACGUUAGUCCUUAUAGUUUUAAUUUGAACAAAGUUAACCAUGUGCCUAACAGUGUUAAAUUUUUCAAUGGAAGGGUGGAAUUAUAAGGACUAAAGUAAAAUUUGGGUCAAGCUUGAAGGGGUAAAAGAAAAA